GGCUACCCGACAGGAUCUCACAAAUGCGGGGGUCAUAACGCCUUACCUGGAAAGGGAUUCCAACAGGACAAAUAACAUUUAGAAGCUUUUAACAGAGCGCCUGCCCCUUGGCAAACGGACCGCGGCCCAAGCACCAAGUGUGCUGGGAGGGAGCUCACCAGGAGCAGGGUGGUGACAGUGGAAGGCUCUUCUGAGUGCCUCUCUGGCCUCUCUGGCACCUCACUCACUGCUGGGGACCAGAGUACUAAGACGAAGAAGCACCUUCACAGAGGACCAGAUCUUUCAAAGAGGGACUCCCAGGACCAACCAAUGCAUAGAAGAGAAUGAAUGCAGAGGACAAGACCUGACAGAGAAAACAGCAUCAUUAUAGAGGCAUACAACUAGCAGUUGCUUCACCAGGAAUGAGGCAGUGAACAC